rnacentral:snRNA from 1 species
GUGCUUACUUUGGCAGCACAUAUACUAAAAAUGGAACAAUACAGACAAGAUUAGCAUGACCCCUGUGCAAGGAUGACACACAAAUCUGUGAAGCGUUCCAUAUUUUA